rnacentral:rRNA from 1 species
UGGGGAAUAUUGCACAAUGGGGGAAACCCUGAUGCAGCGACGCCGCGUGAACGAAGAAGGUAUUCGUAUCGUAAAGUUCUGUCCUAUGGGAAGAUAAUGACAGUACCAUAGAAGAAAGCUCCGGCUAAAUACGUGCCAGCAGCCGCGGUAAUACGUAUGGAGCGAGCGUUGUCCGGAAUUAUUGGGCGUAAAGGGUACGCAGGCGGUUUAAUAAGUCGAAUGUUAAAGAUCGGGGCUCAACCCCGCAAAGCAUUGGAAACUGAUAAACUUGAGUAGUGGAGAGGAAAGUGGAAUUCCUCGUGUAGUGGUGAAAUACGUAGAUAUUAGGAGGAAUACCAGUAGCGAAGGCGACUUUCUGGACACAAACUGACGCUGAGGUACGAAAGCGUGGGGAGCAAACAGG